rnacentral:lncRNA from 1 species
AUGAGGGCCCCCUGACCCCAUCACACCAAGGCAGAGAAGUGGGAAGGAAAGUGGCCGGUGAAGAAAACAGCAGAUGUGUGGAGCAGCCUUGCCUUUUAACAACCAGGCCAGCUGAGAACUGAUUCAUUCCUGUGAGACCCAGGCCAUCCUGCAAGACCAGCAAUGAUCUAGUGAUGAGGGUGGAGCCUCUGUGAUCUCACUGUCUUUCAUGAGGCUCCACCUCUUAAAGGUUCCCCCACCUCCACAUCAGCGCAGCUUCCAGCCUGUAGCCUUUGGGGGCCAAAGCAUGUUGCAAACCCUAGCAGGCAUCCUGCAUGUGCAUCUGGACUUCUGCUUGGAAAUACAAGCAGGUGUAUGAGGGAGAUGGGGGACAGAGAACCUUCCUGGUGCCUGGAGCUCCAGGUCCCCUGCUGACCUUGCAGCACCGACUUGGUCAUGGCAAGGGCAUGGAGCUGGCUGUCGGCAGGCUACAUCAUCUUCCUGGCCACCUAGUCAACAGAAAGCAAACUAGAUGACUAUCAUCUCACCAAGAUAUUUUCACCACAAGCUGAUGCAAG